UGCCACCGACAUGGGCCUGGUUGUGAAGGCCGGACUCUAUCGUCCAAGCCCAUCACAGCCCAGAAAGCCCAUAUCAGCACAGGACCGGCCCAUGUCGGACUCCCUUUGCCCUUAGGUCUUCGGACUCCACCUCUGCUGCGGCGGUGGCAGCGAGGCGAAUCCGGCGACGGCGCGAAUUCCGGCGAGGUAUUCGCCGCGUUGCCAUGGGGAAGAUGCUGGAUCCGAAGCGUCUCAUGUCUGCGCGACAGGAGCGGCAUCGCCGUCGGCGGCGACGGCAACUCCGACCCCGCAGGCUCAUUCUGUCACCACGUUGCAGAUUCUGAAGGCGCCAAAAGAACAAGAUAUUCAGUGCCUAGCCUUCCAGAGGAAAUCUGGUGCCAUAUACACUCCCUAAUGUCAUUCAAAGAUGCUGCUCGUGCAGCAUGCGUGUCUCGUGCUUUUCGUCAUUCCUGGCGAUGCCAUCCCAAUCUUAUAUGUUGUAUUGGAAUACUGGGCUCGGAUUUCAUCAACAAAUUUGACCGCAUUAUGAAAAAUCACUCAGGAAUUGGCAUCAAGUCGGUAAAGUUUCAAUAUAAUAGUUUUUACAAUACUAGAAGGAGCACUAGCAUCAGCCAUCAUUUCGAUAGUUGGCAUCAGAUUGCUAUUACACCGUGGAUCGAAGAACUCACCAUUAGCCUAUCUCUAUCUUCAUUCAAUAUGGAGUACAGCUUCCCAUGCUCACUUCUAGCUGAUGGGAGAGCAAGCUCAAUGCGGCAUCUUUAUCUUGGCAAUUGUGGAUUCCAUCCCACAAUCAACCUUGACUUGAGAAACCUGACAAGGCUGCAUCUGAUUAAUGUACAUAUUACAGGAGAUGAGUUAGGGUGCCUUCUCUCAAAUUCUCAUUGUUUGGAGCAGUUAGAACUUAUGUAUUGCAAUGGAAUAAUUUGUCUGAAGAUACCUUCCCUGUUGCAGUGCCUCAGUCACCUAGAAGUGUUUGAUUGCAGAAUUCUUCAAGUACAACUCUUGCUUGGCGAAUCGUUGCGAAUGAAGAGACUAUCCUUGCACUACCCCGAUGCUAUGUAUUAUGCUCAUGCAAAGCUUCCAUCCAAUGCGCCAAAUCUUGAAACUCUCGCCCUCGAAUGCUCGACUGACAAGAUGGUUGAUACACCAAUAUUGCCUAGCAAAUUCUUCCAUCUCAAGUGCUUGACCAUUGAUCAUACCAUUAUCUCAUCUUCCCCAGCUUAUAAUUAUCUUUACCUGGUUUAUUUUCUCGACGCUUGCCCUUCCUUGGAGACUUUCCUUUUGGGUAUAUCGCAGAACCACAUGGAGCAUGACUCGAUUAUUGGAGAUUCCUCACAUAUGAGGCAAAUGCCAGGACACCGUCAUGACAACCUCCGGAGUGUGGAGAUCACCGGUUUCUACUCUGCAAAGAGCUUGAUCGAGCUAACAUGUUAUAUUCUUGACAAUACAGUUGCACUCAAGUACCUUACACUGGAUACAACUCGUGGUUUUUUCAGCUGUUCUACAGGUGAACACGACAGAUGCUUUCCUAUGGACAAAAUCAUGAUAACGGAAGCCAACAGGGCAGUCCUGGCUAUCCAAAACAUACAUCGAGCGAAAAGUUCCUUCCACGAGGCGGCGCUGGCGGUUGCGGACGGUGACGGCGCGGCCCUCGGCGAGGACGUGGGGGAGGUAGGCGUUCUCGACGAGGUGGUGGAAGACGGUUCGAUUGAUUCAGCGGCUAAAAGAAAGGGAUCACUCUGUCAACAAGUUGCAAAUUCUGAAGGCAACAAAAAAACAAGAUAUUCAGGGCUAGACCUUCCAGAGGAAAUCUGGUGCCAUAUACACUCCCUAAUGGCAUUCAAAGAUGCCGCCCGUGCUACAUGUGUGUCUCGUGCUUUUCAUCGUUCCUGGCAAUGCCAUCCCAAUCUUAUAUUUUGUAUUGGAAUACUGGGCUCGGAUUUCAUCAACAAAUUUGAUCGCAUUGUGAAAAACCACUCAGGCAUUGGCAUCAAGUCGAUGAAGACACUAUCUUUGCAAUACUAUUGCAACGCUGUCUAUUAUGCUCGUGUAGAGUCUAUACCCAAUGUGCCAAAUCUUGAAACUCUCACCAUUUGCUCGUAUCACGAGAUACCAAAGGACAGCAUGGAGGAUGACUCAAUUUUUGGAGAUUCCUCAAAUAUGAGGCAGAUGCAAGAAUAUCGUCAUGACAACCUCCAGAGUGUGGUGAUCACUUGUUUCUGCUCCGCGAAGAGCUUGAUCGAGCUAACAUGUUGUAUUCUUGACUGUACAACGUCACUUGAGUACCUUACACUGGAUACUACUCGUGGUGUUUAUAGCUGUUCUACAGGUAAACACAGCCAAUGCUUUCCUAUGGACAAGGCCAUGAUCCCUAAAGCUAACAGGGCUAUGUUGGCUAUCGAAACAUACAUUGAACGAAAAGUUCCUUCCACAGUUAAGUUAAAUGUUGUGAAACCUUGCCCCCGUUGCCAUAUAAUUGAAUCUUAG
rnacentral:lncRNA from 1 species